rnacentral:rRNA from 1 species
UGGCGGACGGGUGAGUAACGCGUGGGUAACCUGCCUCACACAGGGGGAUAACAGUUGGAAACGGCUGCUAAUACCGCAUAAGCGCACAGUACCGCAUGGUACAGUGUGAAAAACUCUGGUGGUGUGAGAUGGACCCGCGUCUGAUUAGCUGGUUGGCAGGGUAACGGCCUACCAAGGCGACGAUCAGUAGCCGACCUGAGAGGGUGACCGGCCACAUUGGGACCGAGACACGGCCCAAACUCCUACGGGAGGCAGCAUG